rnacentral:lncRNA from 1 species
UUUGUUCUAAAUCGAAAUUUGAUCAUUUUUGAGUCCCCAACUGUGGCGACCCCAAAUCCGGAUACUUGAAACCCGAACUCGGUUCUCCACGAUACCAUUUCUUUAAGCUGAAUAAUACUAAAUAAUAAUAAUAUAAUUCGAACUUAAUUUACAUACAUCAAAGUUUACUUUCCCAGGUACGUGACCUUCAAAUACAUUCCUUACAAUACCUGACAAUAGAUUCCAUUGUCUUACUAACUAUAACCAUUAACUCAUACUAAAUCUCAUUCGAAUAGCUUUUCUUUUCCCUUGUUCGUGCCUGAGCCUUCAGGUCGAUCGUACGUAACUGAAAACAUUUAGUUUAAGCAAGGAUGAGCAUUUGAGUGCCCAGCAAGUAAUAGCAAUUAUAUAUGUAAGCUGAAAGAAUAUAAGUAUUCUCUUUACAUAACACUUCUACAACGAAUAGAAAGUUGGAAAGUAUUCUGUACUGAUAAAAAAUUCACAUAACAACUCUCUUUCAAAUUCUUGAAAUGAGGCUCCACCCAUGAAUAGGGUUUAAGAAACAUACUAUGAACAUUGUUUUUCAUUUUCGAAAAGGUUUAGCAGAAAUUCAUCCGCAAACCGUCAUAACUUACGGGCACGGAGGGUGAUCAGCCCCGUUGUACCCUGUAUUGAUCAAUACUACAUAACUUGAACGAAAUUCAUCGCUCACCCUUUGUCCGCCGAAGCGCAUAAAAAUUUUCCCAUUAUCGGGAUGUUCAUACAUGCCUGGUUCCAAACCCGAAGGUUUUUAAUCUUGCUCAACAAUAAUAUGUAAUUCAACAUAUAUGUAUACGGGUAAUUGACAAAGGUAUAUCAACAUGUGAAUAAAUGCCAUGAUUAUCCAAGUGGGGACACUUGUAUAACCAUUUAGAAAUCAACUUAACAGAAUAUAUAUCUGAGCUAACAUGUUGAUAAUCAAAGCGUACAUAAUC